rnacentral:rRNA from 1 species
GACGAACGCUGGCGGCGCGCUUAACACUUGCAAGUCGAACGGAAAGGCCUGCUUUCCCUUGUGGAUUGCGGGUACUCGAGUGGCGAACGGGUGAGUAACACGUGAGUGAUCUGCCCCCAACUUGGGUAUAAGCCUGGGAAACUGGGUCUAAUUCCCGAUAGGACUGCAGGGUGGUGCCGGUGGUGGAAAACGAUUUUCUAGUGGUUGGGGAUGAGCUCGCGGCCUAUCAGCUUGUUGGUGGGGUGAUGGCCUACCAAGGCGGCGACGGGUAGCCGGCCUGAGAGGGUGGACGGCCACAUUGGGACUGAGAUACGGCCCAGACUCCUACGGGAGGCAGCAGUGGGGAAUAUUGCACAAUGGGCGGAAGCCUGAUGCAGCGACGCCGCGUGGGGGAUGACGGCCUUCGGGUUGUAAACUCCUUUCGACCGCGAGGAAGCCACCUGGUUGGAAGGGUGGUGACGGUAGUGGUAGAAGAAGCACCGGCUAACUACGUG